rnacentral:rRNA from 1 species
ACGCUCGACACCUACGGGGGCAGCAGUGGGGAAUAUUGCACAAUGGGGGAAACCCUGAUGCAGCAACGCCGCGUGAGUGAAGAAGUAUUUCGGUAUGUAAAGCUCUAUCAGCAGGGAAGAUAAUGACGGUACCUGACUAAGAAGCUCCGGCUAAAUACGUGCAGCAGCCGCGGUAAUCUGAGCGGGCUGGCAAGGC